GCCACUUCACCCUAGCUGAUUCAGUGUCUUUCUUACUGAUCUUUCUUUGUCUGAAAUUCAGUAUUUUCAUGGUUAUUCUUGUCAUUCUGGGAUUCAUCUACUUCUGGAGGGUAUAUGGAUACAGAUCAACUAGGAAUACCAAAGGACCUGGGACCACAAGAAGGCAGGACUAGAAUGACUUCAGGAGCCCACGAAACCACUGAGAGAAUAAAAAACAUCUGGACAUCAAGUUUAGAUUAGAUGAGAUGUCAUGAAAACAGCAACUCACCUUCUAUUCAGUCUUCAAAAUCACAGUCUUCUAGUUCAGCAUCAAGUCCAAGUGAUCCUGUUAGUCUGACAUCUUUGUAUUUCUAAAAGUCACUGUCACUGGUGUAGUGCACCAAAGUAAAAGACCAUGGGUUGGGUAGGUGGUGCAUAGGAGAGAGUUCAGGUCCCGGAACAGGAUGGCAUAGGACCUAGUGGGGUUGUAUUAUUGUGUGGAAAACUGAGAAAUGUUAUGCAUGUACAAACUAUUGUAUUUACUGUCGAGUGUAAAACAUUAAUCCUCCAAUAAACAAAAAAAAUCUCAAAAUUAGUGCAAGUAAAAAAAAAAAUUCCCCAGUAUAGAAAUAAUAAUAAUAAUCACUGUCACGAUUGGCAAGACUUGCUUCAUACUCUCUUUGUCUCUACACAAGCAUAUACACACACGCACACUUUGUCAUCAUGAGGCUUAGAUGAUGCAUGUACGUUCCUCUUUGUCCUAUAGAGUUCUUUUUUUCUAAAGAAAAAGAGUGAAACAGCCAUACGUUUCAUCCUAAAGAGGAAGAUAAGUCAGCAAAUGGCAAAUAACAAUUUGUGAAUUUUUUCCCUAUAUCCCUCAGGGGAUGAAAGGGCUUGGAAUGUGCUCUCAUCUUUCCUCCUUGCUUCUCUGUCUAUUUAAAAUGCUAAUCAAUGUUUCAAAAACCAGAGCCACUAUAAACAAUCUCCAGUCAAUGGUCAAUUAGUAAUUUUCACUCAGCCUUCUAUUAGUGGGGCAGUUGGUCUGAAGUUUUAGUCUGAAGUUUGGAUUUCUCCCUGAAUUACAUAGUCAUAAUUCAGUUUCAACAGCAUCUGCAUUUUUGAAAGAAAUUUAAUUUUAUAUCAGAUGAACUGUUAUUUAGACAUUAGUCAUUGAGGCAGCACUGAAUGGCAACUCACCUUUUAGAGCUUCCGAAUCUCAAUCUUUUUUCAUGUCAGGUAGGAAGUGAUUAGUGUAGAUAACAAUACUUAAUGAAGCCCUAACACCAUCUAGAGCCACUGUAAACGGGAACUUUAUAUAUUUGGCAUUACUUACAUUAACCCCCUAGGAAAAAAAUGUCUUUUAUUUAAAGGAAAAAGUUCUCUUGUAAAGUGACAGAUUAUUAGGGCAGUUUCAUUUUCAACAAAACUCUAAUAGAGAAAAUGAAUGCAUACUACCUUGAGGAUAUUAUAUAAAUAGGAGAAUCUGAAAAACAGCUACAAGAUUUUCAGUGUAAUCUAAUCACAAAAAAUCUUAAUUUUUGCUUAUUGUCAUUCCAGUAUUGACUGGUGAUACUAUGGAAGAAGCGAAAAUGGAUAUGCUCUAAAUUAGUAAUGCAUCCUCUGGUUCUGUUCUUUUUAUAGUAUCUAUCCUUCACUCCACAGGUAAAUGAAAAAUAGAAAAGGACAUUUAUUUACUUAUUUAUUCCCUUUUGUUGCCCUUGUUUUAUUGUUGUAGUUACUAUUGUUUCUCAUUGUUAUUGGAUAGGACACAGAGAAAUGGAGGAGGGGAAGACAGAGGGGUAGAGAAAGAUAGACACCUGCAGACCUGCUUCACCACUUGUGAAGCGACUUCCCUGCAAGUGGGGAGGCGGGGCUCGAAUCUGGAUCCUUAUGCGAGUCCUUGUGCUUUGGGCCAAGUGCGCUUAGCCCACUGCUCUACCACCCUACUCCCAGGGCAUUUUUUAAAUGAUUUUUUAUGAACUCGAUUGGGAAUAAUGACCACUUUUGCUCCCAUUCUAUUGAUUGAAAUUUGUAAUAAGACCACACUAACUUCUUCUAUGAAAGUAAAAAAUAAAUCAAUAAAUAAAGUAACUGCCUUAGAAGUGUUGAGGGACAAAGUACCUCCCAGAAAAUAAGAGUGGUUAUAUUGUAGGUAGGGCUUGGCAAGGUGGAGGUGGGGCUUGGGCUUUGAAAAGCUAGACCUUUGGGCUCUUGGGCUUGCUCUCUGCCGGGACCACCAACCACGAUCUAAGUGUCCUUUU